ACGAGAGAGCAUCUUCGGAUGUGAGUAAAGUGGCGCACGGGUGAGUAACACGUGGAUAACGUACCCAGAGGCGGGGGAUAACUACUGGAAACGGUAGCUAAUACCGCGAAAGCUCAUCGGAUCCUCGGGUCUGAUGAGACAAGGCUUCGGCCACCUUUGGAUCGGUCCGCGACCCAUUAGCUAGUUGGUAGGGUAAUGGCCUACCAAGGCGACGAUGGGUAGCUGGUCUGAGAGGAUGACCAGCCACACUGGCACUGAGACACGGGCCAGACUCCUUCGGGAGGCAGCAGUGAGGAAUACUGGACAAUGGGCGCAAGCCUGAUCCGGCCACGCCGCGUGUGUGAUGAAGGUCUUCAGAUUGUAAAGCACUGUCGUGAGGGAAGAAUUUUGACUGUACCUCACAAGAAAGCACCGGCUAACUCCGUGCCAGCAGCCGCGGUAAUACGGAGGGUGCAAGCGUUGCUCGGAAUCACUGGGCGUAAAGCGUGCGUAGGCGGACUCUCCAGUCGAGUGUGAAAUCCCGGGGCUCAACCCCGGAACUGCACCCGAUACUGUUGGUCUAGAGUAUCGGAGAGGGUAGCGGAAUUCCUGGAGUAGCGGUGAAAUGCGUAGAUAUCAGG
rnacentral:rRNA from 1 species